rnacentral:rRNA from 1 species
UACGUAGGGGGCAAGCGUUGUCCGGAAAUUAUUUGGGUACGGUAAAGAGCUCGGUAUGGCGGUUUGUCGCGUCGGAUCUGUGAAAACUCGGGGCUCAACCCCGAGCCUGCAGUGGGUACGGGCAGACUAGAGUGUGGUAGGGGAGACUGGAAUUCUCGGUGUAGCGGUGAAAUGCGUAGAUAUCGAGAGGAACACCUGCG